rnacentral:misc_RNA from 1 species
AACGGCCGCUCGCCGCCCUCGGAACCGCUCGCCGCGACUCGCCCUCACGGUGCACAAUCCACAAAGGAAUUCCCGACGCAGACCGGCGACAGUCGCCAUUCUAGUUGAAUUUCGUGCUGGUGUUUUUUUUCUCGUUUGUCCGGCCGACGCACAAUUUCGAUCUCUCCUCGUCCGUUUUUCUUCCGUUUACUUCGUUUCGACUCCAGAACAUUGACAGAAUGGGCAAAUCGCAAAAUGACAAUAACCCAGAAGGUGAACAAUUCAGAAAAUUGUUUAUUGGAGGCUUGGACUACAGAACGACAGAUCAGUCUCUGAAAUCGUUUUAUGAACAAUGGGGUGAGAUUGUAGAUGUAGUUGUCAUGAAGCACCCACAAACCCAAAAGUCGAGGGGCUUUGGUUUUGUGACUUAUGCAAUGUCUAGCAUGGUUGACGAAGCUAUGAAAAAUAGGCCGCAUAAGAUUGACGGGAGGCAGGUUGAUUCUAAACGAGCUGUCCCUAGAGAUGAAAGUUCAGGUUCCACUGCCAAUGUCAAUGUUAAAAAGAUGUUUGUCGGUGGAUUGAAAGAACAGUCUGAGGCAGAUUUAAGAGAAUAUUUUGGUACAUUUGGAACGAUUGUCGGUAUUAAUAUUGUUAUGGAUAAAGCUACAGGGAAUAGGAAAGGGUUCGCUUUCAUCGAAUUUGAUGAUUAUGAUCCUGUAGACAAAGCUUUAUUGAGGAAAGAUCAUUCGAUAAACGGAAAAGGUGUGACUGUUAAAAAAGCUGUUGUUAAAGAUAACAAUAGUGGAAGUGGUCGUGGACCGAGGGGAUUAUCAGGAGGGCGAGGAGGAGGUGGUGGUGGUGGUGGUGGUCGAGGACAGUCAGGUUCUAACUGGAAUGGUAAUGCUGGCGGAAACAGUUGGGGCGGCACCAAUGGAUAUGGAAGUUCUAACGGGCCAUGGGAUGCUCCAGGAAAUGGUUGGUCACAAAGUAGUGGGGGACAAGGUUGGCAAGAUCAGUCUUAUGGUGGUGGUGGAAAUUCUGGCUGGAAUGGAGGAUAUCAACAGGGUUAUGGAGGUGGACCAAUGCGCAACAACUACAACACUAGCCAAAGAACUGCACCUUAUGGAGGAGGGUAUGGAGGAGGAUCGUCUUGGAAUAAUCGAUACUAAUGUAACAAUGAGGAAAUAAGAGAAGCUCAUUUCUAUUUGUAAAUCAAAUAAACAUUUGAUGCCUGGACAGGACAGUCAAGAAAUGGUUGGUCCAUUAGGUUAAGAAGGAAUUCAUCUGAUGAUAAAAUUGGUUGCCAAAGAAAACAAAAUUGGCGAAAACUGCAUUAUUUCAACCAUAAGAAUAUUUAAAACCCUACAUAACCGAGGCAAAUGAUAGUGAUUCACUUGUGACUCAUGGUUAUCUCAGAACUAUACAUUGAGAGAGAAUUGAAAUUAAGGCAACAGAGCCAAUUUUUGGUGGGAUGAGAUUUUAAUAAAUUAUACUUCCUAUUUCUUA